rnacentral:tRNA from 1 species
UGAAGUGUAGUUUAAUGAAAAAUAAGGGAUUUUGAUUCCCUUGAUGUAAGGUCAUAUCUUUCCGCUUCAA